GCACAGCUUAGCUGCUUGGAGCAUGGUACUGAUAAUGCCAAGGUUGCAGGUUCGAUCCCUGUAUGGGACA